UGUAUAAUGGGUCAGCGACUUAUAUUCUGUAGCAAGGUUAACCGAAUAGGGGAGCCGAAGGGAAACCGAGUCUUAACUGGGCGUUAAGUUGCAGGGUAUAGACCCGAAACCCGGUGAUCUAGCCAUGGGCAGGUUGAAGGUUGGGUAACACUAACUGGAGGACCGAACCGACUAAUGUUGAAAAAUUAGCGGAUGACUUGUGGCUGGGGGUGAAAGGCCAAUCAAACCGGGAGAUAGCUGGUUCUCCCCGAAAGCUAUUUAGGUAGCGCCUCGUGAAUUCAUCUCCGGGGGUAGAGCACUGUUUCGGCAAGGGGGUCAUCCCGACUUACCAACCCGAUGCAAACUGCGAAUACCGGAGAAUGUUAUCACGGGAGACACACGGCGGGUGCUAACGUCCGUCGUGAAGAGGGAAACAACCCAGACCGCCAGCUAAGGUCCCAAAGUCAUGGUUAAGUGGGAAACGAUGUGGGAAGGCCCAGACAGCCAGGAUGUUGGCUUAGAAGCAGCCAUCAUUUAAAGAAAGCGUAAUAGCUCACUGGUCGAGUCGGCCUGCGCGGAAGAUGUAACGGGGCUAAACCAUGCACCGAAGCUGCGGCAGCGACG
rnacentral:rRNA from 1 species